rnacentral:rRNA from 1 species
AGUGAACGCUGGCGGCGUGCCUAAUACAUGCAAGUCGAGCGACCGCACAGUAAGCUUGCUCCCUUGCUGUUAGCGACGGACGGGCGGGUGACACGUACAUCACCAUCCUAUAUUUCUUGGGUAACAUCGGGGGACCGGUGCUACUACCACCUCAUACUUUGUACCGCAUGGAUCAAAAGUGCAUCACGGUUUUCCCGUCUCAUUUAGACGAUUCCGCGCUGCAUUAGCUAGUUGGUAAGGUAACGGCUUACCAAGGCAACGAUGCAUAGCCGACCUGAGAGGGUGAUCGGCCACACUGGAACUGAGACACGGUCCAGACUCCUACGGGAGGCAGCAGUAGGGAAUCUUCCGCAAUGGGCGAAAGCCUGACGGAGCAACGCCGCGUGAGUGAUGAAGGUCUUCGGAUCGUAAAACUCUGUUAUUAGGGAAGAACAUAUGUGUAAGUAACUGUGCACAUCUUGACGGUACCUAAUCAGAAAGCCACGGCUAACUACGUG